UGCAUGUAAUCUGCAUUUUUAUCCUGCAAAGGGUUGCCACCCUUUUCAAAACAAAUCAGCAGAAUUAAAAGGGCCGAGGGGGAGUUUUCACUUGCUUUCUGAUGGCAAGAUAAGUCUCUGUUAAAGACAGCUUUACCUUACCCCUCAGGAAUGUUCUGUUUGAAGCAGACCCAGCUAAUCCGUGAGUCAU
rnacentral:lncRNA from 1 species